AUACGGAGGGUGCGAGCGUUAAUCGGAAUUACUGGGCGUAAAGCGCGCGUAGGCGGUUUGGUCAGUCAGAUGUGAAAGCCCUGGGCUCAACCUGGGAACUGCAUUUGAUACUGCCAGGCUAGAGUAUGGUAGAGGGAAGUGGAAUUCCGGGUGUAGCGGUGAAAUGCGUAGAUAUCCGGAGGAACACCAGUGGCGAAGGCGACUUCCUGGACCAAUGCUGACGCUGAGGUGCGAAAGCGUGGGUAGCAAACAGGAUUAGAUACCCGAGUAGUCC
rnacentral:rRNA from 1 species